rnacentral:rRNA from 1 species
ACCUACGGGGCGCAGCAGUGAGGAAUAUUGGUCAAUGGGCGGGAGCCUGAACCAGCCAAGUCGCGUGAGGGAAGACGGUCCUAUGGAUUGUAAACCUCUUUUGUCGGGGAGCAAGACCCGCCACGAGUGGCGGAGCGAGAGUACCCGAAGAAAAAGCAUCGGCUAACUCCGUGCCAGCAGCCGCGGUAAUACGGAGGAUGCGAGCGUUAUCCGGAUUUAUUGGGUUUAAAGGGUGCGCAGGCGGACCAUCAAGUCAGCGGUAAAAUCGUGGGGCCCAACCUCAUCCCGCCGUUGAAACUGGCGGG